UACGUAGGGAGCAAGCGUUGUCCGGAAUCAUUGGGCGUAAAGCGCGCGUAGGCGGCCCCGUAAGUCCGCUGUGAAAGUCAAAGGCUCAACCUUUGAAAGCCGAUGGAUACUGCAGGGCUAGAGUACGGAAGAGGCGAGUGGAAUUCCUGGUGUAGCGGUGGAAUGCGCAGAUAUCAGGAGGAACACCAAUAGCGAAGGCAGCUCGCUGGGACGUUACUGACACUGAGGCGCGAAAGCGUGGGGAGCGAACAGG
rnacentral:rRNA from 1 species